rnacentral:rRNA from 1 species
CUACGUGCCAGCAGCCGCGGUAAUACGGAAGGUCCGGGCGUUAUCCGGAUUUAUUGGGUUUAAAGGGAGUGUAGGCGGUCUGUUAAGCGUGUUGUGAAAUUUAGGUGCUCAACAUUUAACUUGCAGCGCGAACUGUCAGACUUGAGUACACGCAGCGCAGGCGGAAUUCAUGGUGUAGCGGUGAAAUGCUUAGAUAUCAUGAGGAACUCCGAUCGCGAAGGCAGCCUGCGGGAGUGUUACUGACGCUUAAGCUCGAAGGUGCGGGUAUCGAACAGGAUUAGAUACCCUGGUAGUCCGCACUGUAAACGAUGGAUGCCCGCCGUUGGCGCCCUGCGCCUGCGGCCAAGCGAAAGCAUUAAGCAUCCCACCUGGGGAGUACGCCGGCAACGGUGAAACUCAAAGGAAUUGACGGGGGCCCGCACAAGCGGAGGAACAUGUGGUUUAAUUCGAUGAUACGCGAGGAACCUUACCCGGGCUUGAAUUGCAGUCACUGCCCACAGAGA